UACGGAGGGGGCUAGCGUUGUUCGGAAUUACUGGGCGUAAAGCGCACGUAGGCGGCUUUGUAAGUUAGAGGUGAAAGCCCAGGGCUUAACCCUGGAAUUGCCUUUAAGACUGCAUCGCUAGAAUCGUGGAGAGGUGAGUGGAAUUCCGAGUGUAGAGGUGAAAUUCGUAGAUAUUCGGAAGAACACCAGUGGCGAAGGCGGCUCACUGGACCGUAGUUGACGCUGAGGUGGCGAAAGCCAGGGGGAGCGGAACGGG
rnacentral:rRNA from 1 species